GUAAAUAAAUUUUUCCCGGAAAAGAGUGCAUUUGUUGAGAUGUGUGGGUUUUUUCUGGUUUUGUUUGUUUGUUUAUUUGUUCGUUUUGUUGAUGUUGUUUUAAGCUCUGUGUUUGGAGAUUGACAUCAGUACCAGGGAAGUGCUAUAGCCGAUUUAUCUGGCACCAGUCAUCUUUUCCAGGCUCCGGGGACGCAGACGGACUGAGGCGGCACUCUCCGAGGUGACAGCCGUGGGAACCUUCAAGGGGGCUCUAAACACCGUACUGAGAUAAAACUGCUGUUUGUCCCCCUUGUGUCGUGUCCUUCUGCUGUCCGUCGGUCAGAUUGCCAAGGCUGCCAGGCGGCGCCGGCACCCGUGCGAUGCGAUUAACCAGAACCAAACCACUCCCCGAAACGACUAACACGGAAUGCAGAUGUUUUUGGGUAAAGGUGAGAUCAUGGCCUGAGAGUUCACAAGCUGGCCGUAUUCCUUCUCUAAUAAUACAAUAUAUAAAAUAAAACAGGAUUUCUUGCA